rnacentral:rRNA from 1 species
AGCGAACGCUGGCGGCAGGCCUAACACAUGCAAGUCGAACGAUCCUUCGGGAUAGUGGCGGACGGGUGAGUAACACGUGGGAACGUACCUUUAGGUUCGGGAUAACUCAGGGAAACUUGAGCUAAUACCGGAUGUGCCCUUCGGGGGAAAGAUUUAUCGCCUUUAGAGCGGCCCGCGUUAGAUUAGCUAGUUGGUGAGGUAAAGGCUCACCAAGGCUCCGAUCUAUAGCUGGUCUGAGAGGAUGAUCAGCCACACUGGGACUGAGACACGGCCCAGACUCCUACGGGAGGCAGCAGUGGGGAAUCUUGCGCAAUGGGCGAAAGCCUGACGCAGCCAUGCCGCGUGAAUGAUGAAGGUCUUAGGAUUGUAAAAUUCUUUUAGCAGGGACGAUAAUGACGGUACCUGCAGAAAAAGCCCCGGCUAACUUCGUGCCAGCAGCCGCAGUAA